UACGGAGGGUGCGAGCGUUGUCCGGAAUCACUGGGCGUAAAGGGCGCGUAGGCGGCGCGAGCAGUCGAUCGUGAAAGUCCGGAGCUCAACUCCGGAUCGGCGGUCGAUACUCUCGUGCUUGAGCACUGUAGAGGCAGAUGGAAUUCCGGGUGUAGCGGUGGAAUGCGUAGAGAUCCGGAAGAACACCGGUGGCGAAGGCGGUCUGCUGGGCAGUUGCUGACGCUGAUGCGCGACAGCGUGGGGGAGCAAACAGGG
rnacentral:rRNA from 1 species